UUCCUGGUUUCGUCAACCAAUGCCAACCAAUCAAAAUCUCACAGAAAGGUAUAUGUAUGGAUGAAGCCACAGGGUCAGUAUCAUUUAGAAAAAUGGCUGCUGUUGUCAGGGACAUGUAUGAAGGAGUAGAUUUGACUGUCGUAGGACAAAUGAAUAAGGGAAAGAAAGAAUCAUUCCUGAAAAACCUGAGAAGAAAUCAAUUAAACAAAAAUAGUGAUGUUCUCUUCAAGAUAUUUCGACAAGGCCGCUUGCAUGUACUGUUAUGCAGACCGAGCAACAGUCCUGAAAUGAUAACAUCCAUUUACAGAACGCUGCCAUCAACACAUAUGUCUGUACAGCUGACAUCCAGAAGGAUAUCGGAAAGGGAGAGAUUGGAGACAUUAUCACUUCGUGGACCGGAAAACGAAUUACAAUCCUUAUGUAAAGAUUUCCCUGCCUUGUUAAGAGCUAUGGGAAUAGGAGCUGCCAGAGUUGAGGAAUAGGAGGCUGAAAAUCAAGACGUCAAAGAAGAAGAUGAUGAUGAUGUCAUAAUACAACAUGGAUUCUCCUCUCUGAUCUGAUUUGAAAAAUAAUUUACUCCCUUUUUCUGUGUCAAAGCCAUCUGCCUGUCUUAGAAAAACAAACCAAAUCUGACCCACUGUUUCUAAUGAGCAUGUCAUAAUAAAUCAUAUUUGAUUGAGA